rnacentral:ncRNA from 1 species
AUAUGUAAAACAUAUUUAUUACAAAUUUUAAUAUAAAAAUUCUUACUUAUUUUUAAAAUUAAGAAUUUUUAUUUAAUUUUAAAAAAUUAUAAAAAUUAAUUGUAGUAUUUAAUUUUAAAUAUUUAAGAAAUUAAGAUUUAGUAAUAUUAAAAUUAUUAACUAAUUUUGUGCCAGCAGUUGCGGUUAUACAAUAAAUAAAUUAAAUAUUAUUAGUCAUUAAUUAAUAAAUUAAUAUAAUUAUUAUAAAUUUAUUAUUAUUAAGUAAAAUUUUAAUUUUUUAAAAUAUAGUUAAUAUUUAAUUAUGAAUUAAUAAAUUUUAUUUUAAACUAGGAUUAGAUACCCUAUUAUUAAAAAAUUAAAAUUUUAAACUAAAAUAGUAAAUUAGUUUUUAAACUUAAAAAAAUUGGCGGUAUUUUAGUUUAUUUAGAGGAAUCUGUUUAUUAAUUGAUAUUCCACGAAUAAAUUUACUUAAUUUAAAGUUUAUAUAUCGUCGUUAAAAAAAUAUUUUAUAAAAAUAGAAAAUAUUUAAAAAUUUAAAUAGAAAAAUUAAAUCAGAUCAAGAUGUAAUUUAUAUUUAAGAAUAUAAUGGAUUACAAUAAAAAUAUUUAUAAUGAAUUAUAAUUUGUAAUAAUUAUAUGAAAUUGGAUUUAAAUGUAAUUAUAUUUAAUUUAAUUUAAUGAUUUAAUAUUAAAAUAUGUACAUAUUGCCCGUCGCUCUCAUUUUAAAGUUGAGAUAAGUCGUAACAAAGUAGAGGUACUGGAAAGUGUUUCCUGAAAU